GGUGGCUAUAGCUCAGCAGGUUAGAGCGUUGGAUUGUGGUUCCAAAGGUCGCCGGUUCGAAUCCGGUUAGCCACCC
rnacentral:tRNA from 1 species